UACGUAGGGUCCGAGCGUUGUCCGGAAUUACUGGGCGUAAAGAGCUCGUAGGUGGUUUGUCGCGUUGUCCGUGAAAACUCACAGCUCAACUGUGGGCGUGCGGGCGAUACGGGCAGACUGGAGUACUGCAGGGGAGACUGGAAUUCCUGGUGUAGCGGUGGAAUGCGCAGAUAUCAGGAGGAACACCGGUGGCGAAGGCGGGUCUCUGGGCAGUAACUGACGCUGAGGAGCGAAAGCGUGGUGAGCGAACAGG
rnacentral:rRNA from 1 species